UACGUAGGUGGCAAGCGUUGUCCGGAAUUAUUGGGCGUAAAGCGCGCGCAGGUGGUUUCUUAAGUCUGAUGUGAAAGCCCACGGCUCAACCGUGGAGGGUCAUUGGAAACUGGGGAACUUGAGUGCAGAAGAGGAAAGUGGAAUUCCAAGUGUAGCGGUGAAAUGCGUAGAGAUUUGGAGGAACACCAGUGGCGAAGGCGGCUUUCUGGUCUGUAACUGACACUGAGGCGCGAAAGCGUGGGGAGCGAACAGG
rnacentral:rRNA from 1 species